AAUGGAAUCGUAAAGGUCUUGGGUGGCAUGACUAUGGUUGGAUCCUCCGACUCUGAUGGCCUCUUCAUCCAAGAGACACUUUUCACCACAGGAGGCUUUCCAAUGGAAUUUGACAUAGUGAGGUUUGCCAGCUUUGCUGAUGAGGGUAUAUGUGUUGACACCGAAGCCAUCCAUGUGCCUGUAAUCCUGGGGGAUACCUACGUCGUCGAAUAAGAAGGAGAACAUGUGAAGGCUUUCGGGAUGGUGGGAGAAGAAAUCGAGGAUCCUCCAGUUCUCCUGGAUGUGAGACUUGGGAUUAGGUUUCAGGGCAUGGACCAUGUCGGGGAACUUGAGGCCAUCACGGACGAAAAAGACGGGGAAGUUGUUUCCGACGAGAUCGAAGUUACCCUCUCUGGUGUAAAAUUUGACGGCAAAUCCUCUGGGAUCCCUCAAGGUUUCAGGGCUGCCACGCUCGUGGAUGACGGUGGAGAAGCGGACGAUGAGGGGAGUCUGAACUCCAGGUGCGCGAAGGAAGUCAGCACAGGUGAGGUGAGAGAUGUCAUGCGUGACUUCAAA
rnacentral:lncRNA from 1 species